rnacentral:lncRNA from 1 species
UGAACUCCUGGCCUCAUGUUACCUCCCUGCCUCGGCCUCCCAAAGUGCUGGGAUUACAGGCGUAAGCCACCGUGCCCAGCCAAAAUGCACUUUUCUAGACCCCAUCUCACACUUCUAAUCAGAAGGUCUGGUCUUGAGCUAAGAUAUGAAUUUUAACUAGCUUUCUGGAGAAGUGUAAUGCACAAUAGUGUUUUGAAAACCACUGCUAGCUGGUAAGCUGUAUAACCAUAAGCAAGUUAGCGUUACUGAACUUCUCUACGUCUCAGUUUCUUUGUCCACAAAAUAAGGAUAAUAGUAGGUUCUAUCUUCCAGGGUUAUUGGUGGGAUCAGAUGAGUCAAGACAUAUAAAGCUCUUAGAACAGUGUCUAGCACCUAGUAAGCCCUCAAUGAUGGCUAUUAGUAUUUUCACCAUUAGCAUCAUCUUUUUUUUUUUUUUUUUAUGAAGUCUCGUUCUGUUGCCCAAGCUGGAGUGCAGUGGCGCCAUCUCAGCUCACUGCAAUCUCUGCCUUCCCGGUUCAGCGAUUCUCCUGCCUCAGCCUCCUAAGUAGCUGGAACUAGAGGCGCAUGCCACCAUGCCUGGCUAAUUUUUGUAUUUUUAGUAGAGACGGGGAUUCAUCAUGUUGGCCAGGCUGGUCUCGAACUCCUGGCCUCAGGUGAUUCCCCUGCCUUGGCUUCCCAAAGUGCUGGGAUUACGGGCGUGAGCCACCAUGCCCGGCCCAUCAUUUUCAUUUUCAUUAUUCAGCCCACCACAUUUUUGUUUGCUCACAGACUUGAUUUUUUUUUAAUCAAGCAAAACCUAAUGCAUUGAUUACUACAUAAAGGGAGACUACACCCUUGACAGAGUCUUAGUGCCAUCUCCCAGAUCGGUUUUUAUUGACAAUAUUUCAGGGUUUCUCCCUCUCAAGAAUGGAAAAGAUAGUAUCCUAAGCCAUCUCCACAUUAUGAAGCAGGAUGGAUUUAUUUUAGAAAGGUUUCCAGUACAGACAUUGUGAUUCAUACUUGUAAUCCCAGUGCUUUGGAAGGCUGAGGCAGGAGGACCACUUAAGGCCAGGGGUUUGAGACCAGCCUGGGCAACACAGCAAGACCUCAUCUGUCCAAAAUAUUUUUAAAAGUCAUGUGCCUAUAGUCCUAACUACUUGGGAGGCUGAGGUGAGAGGAUCGCCUGAGCCCAGGAAUUCAAGCCUGGAGUGAGCUAUGAUCACACCACUGUACUCCAGCCUGGGCAACAAAGCGAGACCCUGUCUCUAAAGAAAAAAAAAAGUUUCUAAUGGUAUUCAUAGUGUUUGGCUUAAGGCUUACAUUUGAUCAGAGUUUGGCACAUUUUUUCCCUAUCUUGAAAGUUGUUUUGCAUCUUAGUUGUGGGCUAAAAGUUCUCUAUUUGCUGACAAUAGCAACAUACCAACUUGUUUAGUGUCAUUCCUCCAAAUGCCACUUGUUAUAAAUCACCUCAUAUUUAUACUUUCCUUUUAAAAAUGAACAAAAUGGCUGGGCACAGUGGUUUACGCCUAUAAUCCCAGUACUUUGGGAGGCCAAGGUGGGCGAAUCUCCUGAGGUCAGGAGUUCGAGACUAGCCUGGGCAACAUGGCGAAACCCCAUCUCUACUAAAAAUACAAAAAAAUUAGCCAGGCAUGGUGGCGC